UGCAGGUCGACGAUUAGAGUUUGAUCCUGGCUCAGAACGAACGCUGGUGGCAUGCCUAAUACAUGCAAGUCGAACGAGAAAGUCCUUCGGGGCGAGUACAGUGGCGCACGGGUGAGUAACGCGUAGAUGAUAUGCCUUUUAGUGGGGGACAACAGUUGGAAACGACUGCUAAUACCGCAUAAGCUUAGUGACAUUGAAAAAGCUAAGGAAAGGGGGCUUCGGCUCUCGCUAAGAGAUUGGUCUGCGUGACAUUAGCUUGUUGGUGGGGUAAUGGCCUACCAAGGCGACGAUGUCUAGCUGGUCUGAGAGGAUGAUCAGUCACACUGGAACUGAGACACGGUCCAGACUCCUACGGGAGGCAGCAGUAGGGAAUAUUGCACAAUGGGGGAAACCCUGAUGCAGCAAUGCCACGUGAGUGGGGAAUGCCUUCGGGUUGUAAAGCUCUGUCCUAUAGGAAGAACGGCAUUAUGGUUAAUACCCAUAGUGUUUGACGGUACUAUAGAAGAAAGCACCGGCUAACUCCGUGCCAGCAGCCGCGGUAAUACGGAGGGUGCAAGCGUUGUUCGGAUUUAUUGGGCGUAAAGCGCGCGCAGGCGGACUAGCAAGUCAGAUGUGAAAUCUCGGGGCUCAACCUCGAAACUGCGUCUGAUACUGUUAGUCUAGAAUCUCAGAGGGGGAAGGGGAAUUUCACGUGUAGGGGUAAAAUCCGUAGAGAUGUGAAGGAACACCGGUGGCGAAGGCGCCUUCCUGGAUGAGUAUUGACGCUGAGGCGCGAAAGCGUGGGGAGCAAACAGGAUUAGAUACCCUGGUAGUCCACGCCGUAAACGAUGAGUACUAGCUUUCGGGGGUAUUGACUCCUUCGGAGCGCAGCUAACGCAUUAAGUACUCCGCCUGGGAAGUACGGUCGCAAGACUAAAACUCAAAGGAAUUGACGGG
rnacentral:rRNA from 1 species